rnacentral:lncRNA from 1 species
UUUCAGCUCAAAUCAAACCCAAUAGCCAAUCUACAAAACCCAAACCUAUAACCCAAUCCAAUUAAACCUUAGCCCAAUUCUAAACCCAUAUACUAUAACCCAAUCCAAUUAAAUCUAGGCCUAGUCCAAAGCCCAGAGCCCAUUUACAAAUGGCCCCGGUCCAAAACCCAUUUAGGCCUACUAUCUAAGCCCAUUAUCCAAAACUCAUUAAAACCAUUAACCCAUAAACCCAUAUACAUAAACCCAUAUACAUUUACCCAUAAACCCAUACACAUUUAACCCAUAUCCAAGCCCAUAACCUUAACCAAGUCCAUGAACUUUGAACUAAAACCAUGGACCAAACCAUAUACCAAAUCCUGUGGACCAUACCAUACACCAAAUCCACAAACUAUGAAUCAAGUUCAUGAACCAUAAGCCCAUGAACCACAAGUUCAUAAACCCAUGAACCAUACCACAAGUUCAUGAACCAUAAGCCCAUGAACCAAACCCAUAAACCAUAAGUCCAUGAACCAUAAACCCAUGAACCAUAUCUAAGUUCAUGAACCAUAAUCCCAUAUACCCAAUACCAUAAACCUUGUGAACCAAACCCAAACCUUCGACCGAAACGUCGUUAAACUAAUCCACCAAAUCAAUCGACCGAAACGUCGUUAAACUAAACCUAAAUCCGAUAUCGACCGAAAUGUCGUUAAACUAAACUCAAAUUCAAUUUUCAUGAACAUCCCAAUUCCCAAAAUAUUUGAUUCUCUAGCAUAUAAAACUAGAGUCAAAUCACAAUCAUGUUCAAACUUGAUCAAAUUCUAAACCUAUAUUUAGAAUUGAUCAAACCAUCUGAUCAAAUUAAUUUGUUGGAUUCCAAUACAUACACUUGGAGUUUAAUUUAAAUC